rnacentral:rRNA from 1 species
CCGGGCUCAACCUGGGAACUGCAUUCGAAACUGGCAGGCUUGAGUCUUGUAGAGGGGGGUAGAAUUCCAGGUGUAGCGGUGAAAUGCGUAGAGAUCUGGAGGAAUACCGGUGGCGAAGGCGGCCCCCUGGACAAAGACUGACGCUCAGGUGCGAAAGCGUGGGGAGCAAACAGGAUUAGAUACCCUGGUAGUCCACGCCGUAAACGAUGUCUACUUGGAGGUUGUGCCCUUGAGGCGUGGCUUCCGGAGCUAACGCGUUAAGUAGACCGCCUGGGGAGUACGGCCGCAAGGUUAAAACUCAAAUGAAUUGACGGGGGCCCGCACAAGCGGUGGAGCAUGUGGUUUAAUUCGAUGCAACGCGAAGAACCUUACCUGGUCUUGACAUCCACAGAACUUUCCAGAGAUGGAUUGGUGCCUUCGGGAACUGUGAGACAGGUGCUGCAUGGCUGUCGUCAGCUCGUGUUGUGAAAUGUUGGGUUAAGUCCCGCAACGAGCGCAACCCUUAUCCUUUGUUGCCAGCGGUCCGGCCGGGAACUCAAAGGAGACUGCCAGUGAUAAACUGGAGGAAGGUGGGGAUGACGUCAAGUCAUCAUGGCCCUUACGACCAGGGCUACACACGUGCUACAAUGGCGCAUACAAAGAGAAGCGACCUCGCGAGAGCAAGCGGACCUCAUAAAGUGCGUCGUAGUCCGGAUUGGAGUCUGCAACUCGACUCCAUGAAGUCGGAAUCGCUAGUAAUCGUGGAUCAGAAUGCCACGGUGAAUACGUUCCCGGGCCUUGUACACACCGCCCGUCACACCAUGGGAGUGGGUUGCAAAAGAAGUAGGUAGCUUAACCUUCGGGAGGGCGCUUACCACUUUGUGAUUCAUGACUGGGGUGAAGUCGUAACAAGGUAACCGUAGGGGAACCUGCGGUUGGA